rnacentral:rRNA from 1 species
AGUGAACGCUGGCGGUAGGCCUAACACAUGCAAGUCGAACGGCAGCACAGGAGAGCUUGCUCUCUGGGUGGCGAGUGGCGGACGGGUGAGGAAUACACCGGAAUCUACUCUGUCGUGGGGGAUAACGUAGGGAAACUUACGCUAAUACCGCAUACGACCUACGGGUGAAAGCAGGGGACCUUCGGGCCUUGCGCGAUUGAAUGAGCCGAUGUCGGAUUAGCUAGUUGGCGGGGUAAAGGCCCACCAAGGCGACGAUCCGUAGCUGGUCUGCGAGGAUGAUCAGCCACACUGGAACUGAGACACGGUCCAGACUCCUACGGGAGGCAGCAGUGGGGAAUAUUGGACAAUGGGCGCAAGCCUGAUCCAGCCAUACCGCGUGGGUGAAGAAGGCCUUCGGGUUGUAAAGCCCUUUUGUUGGGAAAGAAAUCCAGCUGGCUAAUACCCGGUUGGGAUGACGGUACCCAAAGAAUAAGCACCGGCUAACUUCGUGCCAGCCGCCGCGGUAA